GAUUCCCUUAGUAACGGCGAGCGAACAGGGAACAGCCCAGCGCCAAGUCUCGACAUGUAAAGUGUUCGAGAGAUGCGGCGUUAAUGUGUUGACGUAUCGUACGUCGCCGUGUGUUUCAAGUCCCUUUGACUGGGGUUCCAGAGUGGGUGUUAGACCCAUAGAAGCGUUCGGCAGGCGUACGCCAGUCAAUACAUUCUAGAGUCAGGUUGCUUGAGAGUGCAGCCUAAAGCAGGUGGUAAACUCCAUCUAAGGCUAAAUAUUACAGUGAGACCGAUAGCAAACAAGUACCGUGAGGGAAAGUUGCAAAGAACUUUGAAGAGAGAGUUCAAUAGGACGUGAAACCACUAACAGGAAAACAGGUGGAACCACGAAGUAUGCUUUCUGGUCGACUCAAUCAUUGCCAUUGUUUGGCUGUGUUUGUUGUAGGGUUUCAUUUGGAAGCUUGACAAACAUGGCAGAUGAUCAUUGGUAAUGGUGCAUUUCGUACCAGGAAUGCUAAAGCCACGUUCGACCAGGUGACUGGGACGGCCGUAGGAUAGGAUUCAAGAAAGGUGGCCCUCAAGUGUCCUAGACAUUUGGUGGUGUUAUUAGUCUUGGAUCGGAACCGUCGCCGAGUGUGCUGGUCGAUGCAAAUUCUCCUCUGGAGUGUUGCGUGUAGUGAUUUGGUACGUUUUUGGUUAUAAAGUAACGUCGUUGGGAUUGUUCUUUUGUUGUCCUUGGGCGUCGAAAGGCAGUYUAUCGAUUGUUGCUUKGUGGUUGAUUACGUUGCCAGAUUGUACAAACUGUGGUGCGAGUAGGUCGGUGUCCACCUGACCCGUCUUGAAACACGGACCAAGGAGCCUAACAUAUUUGCAAGUCGCUCGGUCUUGUUUAGGCCCGGGAGGCGCAAUGAAAGUAAUUGCUACGAGGUGGUAAAAAGCCGCAGUAGCAGCCCGCCGGCUUCGUUUAUUGGCGAUAUGGCGGAGUUGGAGCAAAUACGUUGGUACCCGAAAGAUGGUGAACUAUGCCUGGGCAAGACGAAGCCAGAGGAAACUCUGGUGGAGGUCUGUAGCGAUUCUGACGUGCAAAUCGAUCGCCUGACCUGGGUAUAGGGGCGAAAGACUAAUCGAACCAUCUAGUAGCUGGUUCCCUUCGAAGUUUCCCUCAGGAUAGCAGGCGCCUAAUUUGAUCAGUCUCAUCCGGUAAAGCUAAUGAUUAGAGGUCUUGGGAUCGAAACGAUCUCAACCUAUUCUCAAACUUUAAAUGGGUGAGAUGCCUGACUUGCUUGAUUGAAGCCAGGCAAUUGGAUGUGGGUGCCUAGUGGGCCAGCUUUGGUAAGCAGAACUGGCGCUGUGGGAUGAACCAAACAUCGAGUUAAGGCAUCAAAUGCAUACGCUCAUGAGACCCCAUAAAAGGUGUUGGUUGCUAUAGACAGCAGGACGGUGGCCAUGGAAGUCGGAAUCC
rnacentral:rRNA from 1 species